UGGGGAAUAUUGGACAAUGGGCGAAAGCCUGACCCAGCAACGCCGCGUGAAGGAUGAAGUAUUUCGGUAUGUAAACUUCGUAAGAAUAGGAAGAAUAAAUGACGGUACUAUUUGUAAGGUCCGGCUAACUACGUGCCAGCAGCCGCGGUAAUACGAAGGGAGCUAGCGUUGUUCGGAAUCACUGGGCGUAAAGCGCACGUAGGCGGAUAGUUAAGUCAGGGGUGAAAUCCUGGGGCUCAACCCCAGAACUGCCUUUGAUACUGGCUGUCUCGAGGUCGAGAGAGGUUGGUGGAAUUCCUAGUGUAGAGGUGAAAUUCGUAGAUAUUAGGAAGAACACCAGUGGCGAAGGCGGCCAACUGGCUCGAUACUGACGCUGAGGUGCGAAAGCGUGGGGAGCAAACAGGAUUAGAUACCCCGGUAGUCCCUGAGCGGGCUGGCAAGGCGCAU
rnacentral:rRNA from 1 species